GUUGUGAUCGAUUCAUCAUAUAAUAGAUAUCGCUUAUUUGGGUAACUGUUUUGAAGCAUGAUAGCACAGUUUGAGACUAGAUUUAUUUGCAUGUGCUUAUUAUUCUUGCAAUUUAUAUCUUUGUCAUGCAGUUUUCACGGAGUUGAACGACAUGGAAACAAACAAUAAUAAACGCUAGACAACUUCA